GUCCCUGGCAUAGAGCAAUGCCCCCUGCACCAAAUGCGUGCCACCCCAGUGCAGAGUGUGACGCUGCGUGAGUCACAAGCAAGGCCCCGCUGGUGCAGCAGGUUCAGAGGACGGGGCCAGGCGGCUGACGAUCCUCCCUCCUACUUCCCGGGCACAUCCAAGGAGACCAGGCGGGCGGGCAGAGUGCUCACCGCCAGCCCAGCUUAGUGGGAAGCUUUCUCUGCCCCCUGCAGAAACACAGAUGUGGGAAAACAACAACAAUGACAAUAAUGCAUUUAAAAAAAUAAACUUUCACUGAGUUCCCAUA